GAAUCUGAGAAGUAGCAUGGACGGAAGAGGAUUCAGCCAUUGUUGCAGGUUGGAGAAGAAGAUAACCGGGAGAGAGUUUGGAAGUAUUUUUGCUUUGGAAAUUAUGGGGCAGUAAAGAGGUAAAAGGUGGUCUGGAUGGGUUUUUAUAGUAGGUGAUAGGAGAGAGAAAGAUCGAUUCAAAUCUUUUAUGGGAAUAUGGAAGGGUAUUUGAGUGACUGAUUGGUGACAGUUGGGACGUGCGAUGAUCACGUAGGAGAGAGAGUGUCAGUUUCCUAGGAUCACGCCGCCCAAUAAGCGCCGGUUUAGAGAGAUGAACCGUUUCCAUUUCCACACGCGCCAUUAAUGCCUGAUGGAUGACGCUUCAAUAUUGUACACGCGUCCAAUAGUGUCAGAAAAAGCGCGGCCUCUUCAAAUUCACGCGCCCGCCUUUUUACCGUCGUUUGAAUUUCUAUCCUUUGAACUUCCGCCGCGUCAGCAUCUUUUGUCUCUUCCCCUUUUUAACCUGCUGUCUUUUGAAUAAAACGCCCACGUGGAUUAUUGGUAACCACAACUUCAUUAUGAACCAUCCAUUAAUUAUCCAGCCUGUAAAAUAAUUAGUAACGGAAUUUUUGAAAAUCUAGGAUUUUCGUGCUAAGAGUGUAAAAGAUAAGGAAAUAAAGCAACUCUUUUUGGAAUAAUCUGUGAUGUCAAUUAUGACACGAAACUGAUGAUCCCGGGCACGAAUCUCUUCCUUCAAGAUCAAGAGAGACCUUAAAGUGUUAGUGUGGAAUCCCGUUGAAUUACGAUCAAACAUUUAUUAAUAAAUGUUGAAAGGCUUCUUUUAAUAAGAUAAAAUAAGGGUGGUUUCGCUUUGAUUCAUCAAUUCAAUUCUUGAUAUAAGAACGAAUGUGAACAAAGUACUUGUGAGACCAGUGUAGUCUGUUGAACAAGUAGGUUGGAGUUGUUUAUUAAGUGACUUGGAUAAGUAUAAAAUCUCAGAUAAAAAAAUUUUAAAACUGGAUCCCUUGGGAAGAAAUGUUAUGGUGUGUAACAAUUUCAUUGGAACCACGCAAAAAGAAAAGAAAUUGAGAUUUCAUGAAGGUACAUUCGUCAAUUCAUUGGUAAAAACUUGAUCAAAUUAAUUUGUCACCGUCAAUUCUUUGGUGUUGAAUUUUGGGUUUCACUCAGCUCGUAGUGGCACGAAACUAAGAUCAUAAACACAGAUGUUGUGUAACCAUAAACCUCAGUGGUAGUUUCUGAGAGUCUCAAGGGUUACAGUGAUGAAACGAAUGUUAUGGAGAAGUGUAAUGGGGAUGGUGAAAGAAGACAUAGUACCUCUGCUGUGAAAGAAAGGACCAAGCAGGAGACUCUUAACUCAUGUGAGAAGAGUGUGAGGUAGCUCACGAUUAGAAUAAAUAAGUUAGCCUUAUUGGGAAGACAAGGUUUGUGUAUACCAAGUCGUGAAGGCAAUUAUUCAAAAUCUUAUGAGGCUUGGGACACAUACAGCAGCAUGCUUCUAGGGACACUUAAGUAAUUCAGCAAAUAUAUCCCCAUAAAUAAACGAACUUACAAAAAAUAUUUUUGGAGUGUUUGAAAUUUAUAUAAAAAAAUAAAAUUUAAAAAAUGGAAAAGAAAACAAAUAGAAAAGAUUAAAAAUAAGACAAAGAAAAAAAACUUUUGAUAAAAAAAAAUGGAAAACCGAACCCGAACGUUCGGUUGGUUUCGGUUCAGGAAAAUUUUGAAAAACCGAACCCGAACCUUCGGUUGGUUUCGGUUCUUGAAAAUUUUGAAAAACCGAACCCGAACCUUCGGUUGGUUUCGGUUCUUGAAAAUUUUGAAAAACCGAACCCGAACCUUCGGUUGGUUUCGGUUCAGGAAAAUUUUGAAAAACCGAACCCGAACCUUCGGUUGGUUUCGGUUCAACAAAAUUUUGGAAAACCGAACCCGAACCUUCUGGAGGUUUCGGUUCAGGAAAAUUUUUAAGAAACCAAGGAGUUUAGAUAUGCAAAAAAAAAAAAACUUUUUACAUAAAGAAAAACAAAUUUUGCACAAGAAAUAUACAACAC
rnacentral:lncRNA from 1 species